rnacentral:rRNA from 1 species
AGCGAACGCUGGCGGCAGGCCUAACACAUGCAAGUCGAACGAACCCUUCGGGGUUAGUGGCGGACGGGUGAGUAACACGUGGGAACGUGCCUUUAGGUUCGGAAUAACUCAGGGAAACUUGUGCUAAUACCGAAUGUGCCCUUCGGGGGAAAGAUUUAUCGCCAAAGGAUCGGCCCGCGUUGGAUUAGGUAGUUGGUGGGGUAAUGGCCUACCAAGCCGACGAUCCAUAGCUGGUUUGAGAGGAUGAUCAGCCACACUGGGACUGAGACACGGCCCAGACUCCUACGGGAGGCAGCAGUGGGGAAUCUUAGACAAUGGGGGAAACCCUGAUCUAGCCAUGCCGCGUGAUCGAUGAAGGCCUUAGGGUUGUAAAGAUCUUUCAGUGGGGAAGAUAAUGACUGUACCCACAGAAGAAGCCCCGGCUAACUCCGUGCCAGCAGCCGCCGUAACAC